rnacentral:rRNA from 1 species
UAUUGGACAAUGGGCGAAAGCCUGAUCCAGCCAUGCCGCGUGUGUGAAGAAGGUCUUCGGAUUGUAAAGCACUUUAAGUUGGGAGGAAGGGCAGUUACCUAAUACGUGAUUGUUUUGACGUUACCGACAGAAUAAGCACCGGCUAACUCUGUGCCAGCAGCCGCGGUAAUACAGAGGGUGCAAGCGUUAAUCGGAAUUACUGGGCGUAAAGCGCGCGUAGGUGGUUUGUUAAGUUGGAUGCGAAAUCCCCGGGCUCAACCUGGGAACUGCAUUCAAAACUGACUGACUAGGGUAUGGUAGAGGGUGGUGGGAUUUCCUGUGUAGCGGUGAAAUGCGUAGAUAUAGGAAGGAACACCAGUGGCGAAGGCGACCACCUGGACUGAUACUGACACUGAGUGCGAA